GUCCACGCCGUAAACGAUGAGUGCUAGGUGUUGCGGGUAUUGACCCCCGCAGUGCCAAAGCUAACGCGUUAAGCACUCCGCCUGAGGAGUACGGUCGCAAGAUUAAAACUCAAACGGAAUUGACGGGGGCCCGCACAAGCGGUGGAGCAUGUGGUUUAAUUCGACGCAACGCGCAGAACCUUAACCUGGGUUUGAACUGCAGUGGACCGGCACAGAAAUGUGUCUUCCCUUCGGGGCUGCUGUAGAGGUGCUGCAUGGCUGUCGU
rnacentral:rRNA from 1 species